rnacentral:rRNA from 1 species
GACGAACGCGGCGGCGUGCCUAAUACAUGCAAGUAGAACGCUGAAGAGAGGAGCUUGCUCUUCUUGGAUGAGUUGCGAACGGGUGAGUAACGCGUAGGUAACCUGCCUGGUAGCGGGGGAUAACUAUUGGAAACGAUAGCUAAUACCGCAUGAUAUUGAAUAUCGCAUGAUAAUUAAUUGAAAGAUGCAAUUGCAUCACUACCAGAUGGACCUGCGUUGUAUUAGCUAGUUGGUGAGGUAACGGCUCACCAAGGCGACGAUACGUAGCCGACCUGAGAGGGUGAUCGGCCACACUGGGACUGAGACACGGCCCAGACUCCUACGGGAGGCAGCAGUAGGGAAUCUUCGGCAAUGGGGGGAACCCUGACCGAGCAACGCCGCGUGAGUGAAGAAGGUUUUCGGAUCGUAAAGCUCUGUUGUAAGAGAAGAACGGGUGUGAGAGUGGAAAG